AAGUCAAUGCUUCUCCGACUCCUC
rnacentral:siRNA from 1 species